rnacentral:lncRNA from 1 species
GGGUUGUUCCCAGCGGAGAUCCUCCAGGAUGGCUUCUGGGAUACGCCACCGCAGAGCCAGGCCCUGGCGGGGCAUGUGAUGGUUUCUCUCCUGCUGCCGUGACGCCCUCACCAGCAGCUGAAGCAUCACAGGUUUACUGUCUUCCAGUUGUGGAGGCCAGAAACCCAUGUGCAACCUCAGCAGCUAAAACCCAGGCGUUGGCAGGAUGGCCUUCGUCCCGGAGCCUCCAGGGAGAGUCUGCUUCCCAUCCUUCUGCGUGGCUCUCUGGGGCUGUGGGACCCAGGACCCUGUUUUCCUGCUGGGUGCAGGCUGAGAGCUUCCGGAGGUGCAGGGGGCAUCUUCUGACCUAGCUUCCCAUCAUGGAAUGAGUGGAGGCUUCUUCAGGCCUCAACCUGUGCUGUUUACCUUCCGACAGCAGUGGCCUCCUCCUCCUCCGGCUGCUGCACUGUCCCUGCCCGCCCCUUUCCAGCGGCAGGUCCCAGAGCUUUCUCGGUUCUUGGCCACGACGUCUCCCACCUCCUCCACCCAGUGGGCUCUAGGCUCCGGUGGCUGCAGGGCUUCAGUCCAGCAGGUGUUUCCUUUUACUUGCUUCAUAGCAGCUUGCACCGUGGUUGAUCCCUCCCUCCUAGAAGCACUCUUCCUUCUGUUUCUGAGAAGGCGUAUUUUCUCUCGGGCCCCUGCGGCUGAUCUGUUUCCUGUGCAGACUCACCGUGGACGGUGCAUUUCCUCAGCGUCAGGCCCCUUCCUGCACACCUUGCCCAUGGCAUCUGCAGUUGACUUAGAGCACCUUGGCUACAGAUUGGUGUCCACCAUGGUCUUCCUAAGACAAAAAAACAUUCUGCUUAUGUCUGCAAAGGAAACAGAAGUUGCAGCCAACUAUAAAUGCAACGAGAAAAUGUUUCUUUGAGGUCUUCUGGGAACACAUCUUAAAUUAUUGAGCAAUUCUGACUUAUGCAACCACAUACUUCAUUACUCAUCUGAGAAGCAGAGCAGCUCUCUGGAGGAUGAAGCAGGGUUCUGUGUUGGACGCUGCCGGAGAGGCAGGUCUGCAGAGACUGGCAAGGUGGCCAGCCUGUAAGCCCUGCUGUGUCCCUGGGCUUUCCCCUAAGAACGAACGCCCUGGAGGUUUUUACCAAAAUUUCUGGGAAGCUCUGUUUUCCAAAAUGGCUCAAAACAACUAGAAAUAAAUUAAAAUCAGAGAAAAUUUACUCACUCAUGA